UACGUAGGGUGCAAGCGUUGUCCGGAAUUAUUGGGCGUAAAGGGCUCGUAGGCGGUCCGUCACGUCGGGAGUGAAAACUUGGGGCUUAACCCCAAGCCUGCUUCCGAUACGGGCGGACUAGAGGUAGGCAGGGGAGAACGGAAUUCCUGGUGUAGCGGUGAAAUGCGCAGAUAUCAGGAAGAACACCCGUGGCGAAGGCGGCUCUCUGGAACGCAACUGACGCUGAGACGCGAAAGCGUGGGGAGCAAACAGG
rnacentral:rRNA from 1 species